UGCUGAAGUCUUCAGAGGGCGACACUGCUUUCUGUAAAGAGAGUUUCAGUAUUUGUGAGGAUAAUGAAGACAUCAGUCUAUUGGCAUCAGCUCUGAUUGAUGCUUUUGUUCAGCAUCGCAGGCACCUCUGACUCCUACAGUCUAUAAUAGCGCAGGGUGCAUGCUUGGUUUGUCCGUGACUCUGUCUGAAUCAUCCGGAGCUGCUGUAUCCCUGUUGGGUCGUCGCUGUCUGACAGCAGAAGCAGACAGGAGUUUUAGUGCCGUUGACAGGCCUGUGGGGAAGAAGGACGUUUGUCACCAGCGCUCCAGAAAGCCCAGCGCUUCUUCAGCUCCACGAGGGGAUCUGAGCGCUCAGCUUUCUGUGGAGUUUGUGUUUGGCCAUCGAGGACACCAGCUGUAGGUCACAGAUAAACUCAGAACCUUCAAACUCCAGCAAAGAAAUGAACUUCACUCCCAAAACACACCACAGACCGCUGAGGACAUGACCGGGAGCACACUCAUCAGACUCAAACCUUGACUUUCUAUAACACACACACACACACACACACACACACACACACACACACACACACACACCUCCGCUUUCCUUUGUUUCUGCACUGUUACAGAUGGACACACAACCAUUUAUUGAAACUAAACUGCAAAAACAUUUUAUGGAGCAUGAAGUGAUUUUACAAACUGGCACAAACUAUUUCACAGCAUUGGGUUUUUAAUUUCAUUUUAAAUUUAAAAUCCAAUUAAAUAUUAAAAACUUUUAAAUCAAAUUAAGUUGAGUUUUGAAGUUGCUUUUUUGUUUCAUUUUAUUUUUAGUAAAAGUUUUAGUAAUUUUGUUCUGUUUUUGUGUAAUUUUAGUGUUUUAAAUGUCAAUAUAGUUUUUAUUAAUUUUAUUUCAUCUUUAGUUUUAGUUAUUGUAGUAUACUUAGUUAAACUAAAUGAAAAUGCUGCUUUGACAACUUGCCGAAAUAAAAUAAGUUUAAGUUUUUUUAAUUUAAGUUUU
ensembl:lncRNA